rnacentral:rRNA from 1 species
CACGCCGUAAACGUUGGGAACUAGGUGUGGGCCUCAUUCCACGAGGUCUGUGCCGCAGCUAACGCAUUAAGUUCCCCGCCUGGGGAGUACGGCCGCAAGGCUAAAACUCAAAGGAAUUGA